rnacentral:rRNA from 1 species
UACGGAGGGUGCGAGCGUUAUCCGGAUUUACUGGGUUUAAAGGGUGUGUAGGCGGGCUAUUAAGUCAGCGGUGAAAUCUUCGGGCUCAACCCGGAAACUGCCAUUGAUACUAUUAGUCUUGAAUACUGUGGAGGUAUGCGGAAUGUGUCAUGUAGCGGUGAAAUGCUUAGAGAUGACACAGAACACCGAUUGCGAAGGCAGCUCACUAGGUCUGGAUUGACGCUCAGGGACGAAAGCGUGGGGAGCAAACAGG